rfam:Oryza nivara chromosome 3, whole genome shotgun sequence.
AAAAAAGAUAAACACUAGUUUUCGUGUCUAACGUUUGACCAUUCGUCUUAUUUAAAAAAAUUAUAAAAAAAAAUUAAAAAGACAAGUCACGCAUAAAAUAUUAAUCAUGUUUUAUCAUCUAAUAACAAUGAAAAUACGAAUUAUAAAAAAAUUUCAUAUAAGAUGGACAGUCAAAGUUGGACACGAAAACCCAGGGUUUGCCCUUUUU